UGAUGACACACUGAUAUCCAUAUCUGCAUGUUUGUACUUGUGGAAUUCUAGAAUCUCAUCUUACAUGUCCCUAAUCUUUUUUUUCUGCUUUGGCAUUAGUGAAUGUCUUUUAUAAUGUCCAAAUCCAAGUCAGUAGGAGGUACCAACAAAUGGCAAGAAUCAAUGAUUCUUCCUGUCGAUGUUGUGACUCCUUUGAAUAUGAGCAUCCACAUCUGCUAAUUUGUACCCCUAUCUAUUACUUAGGGAUGCCACAGGCAGUAAUCCGAAGGAAGAGGAAGCACCAUGGCACCUGGGGGCUUCGUGGAUUGGAGGGGAAAAGCCAUCAAUAAAGAGGUGCAUGGCGGAGUCAGAGCAGCGUGGUUUUUGUAUGUUCUGACUGUGGUAACCAACGUGGUUAUUGUCCCAAACCUGCUGAAUCUGGUCACUUACCUCCACAGAACAAUGCACAUGGGGGUCUCAGGCUCUGCAACUACAGCCACUAAUUUUAUUGGUGCCACAUCUGGCUUUGCACUGAUAGGAGCUUUCCUCUCGGACUCCAACAUUACUCGCUCUAGAACUAUGCUCCUCUUUGGUCCGUUUAUGUUUCUGGGAGAAGCGUUAUCUGCAGUGAAGAAGUAAUUUCCCAAAGUUGAGAUGUAUGGGUGUACAAAAUCAUAUGGUGUAAGGGGAUACGGAUUGCUAGCACUGCAAGCCUACCUUCCCUCGCUCCACCCACCACCUUGCAACAGUGAAGCAGAGGUAAACAACUGCAAAGAGGUCCAUGGCUGGAAUGCUACCUUUACUGUACACAGCCUUGUAUAUGAGCGCACUUGGUGAUGGUUCUAUGCGUGCUUGCUUGCCAUCCCUCGGAGCUGACCAAUUUGACCACGAAGAUCCCUCCGAGUCCUGUCAACAGUCUAGCUUCUUUAAUUGGUAUACCUUCGGAAUCUCCUUUGGAGGUUUUGUAGGGCCGAUUCUCAUAGUAUGGCUUGAAAAUUACAAAGGGUGGGAUAUCGGACUUGGGGUGUGUGCCAUCCUAAUUCUGCUCGGAUUGCUCAUAGUUGCUGCUGGUCUCCCUUUCUACCGCAACCAAGUACCAGAAGGAAGUCCUCUAACUCGAAUACUGCAGGUUGUGCUUCAUAUUGCUGUCUUAAAACACAAUGUGCCAUCACAAUUUUCAGGGAAUGUGUUAGAUCAAAUACCAAGAUCUCGUUAAGCGUGUUAUUUAGAAGUAAUCGUGGACGCCGAUUAGGGACCAGGCCCACCUGUCUCCUAGUUGGUCGCAACCUGCCCUAUCGCUCCGCCAAAAUGUAACCAUCAGGGGGUUGCCGGGAACCCAGACCCACCACUACCUGGGUGGAACCACCUGCCCCUUCAGCCCCCAUCUCCGAAUCAUCAACAUAAGUAUGUAAUAGUAUAGUAUAUACCCGUGAUCACCUCUCGAGUGAUCACGGCCCAGUAAUAUAGCAUGGUAGACGGACAAGAGCGUAGGGCCACUGAUG